AACACAAAGAAACAAGCUUGGGUGUUUUUCUUCUAAUCAAAAGGAACUGUGAAGAAAUUGUGCCCCCUGCUGAUUUAAUUUAAUAUUAAAGUUGUCAACAAGCCAGCGCUGAGGAGAGCUUCCUUCAUGUCCUCAAGGUCACAAUUGAAAUUCGCCCUUAGUAGCUCAGCAGCCCGUGCCAGCGACUGGAAACCUUCCACGUAAUUAAAGGAGAAAAAAAUUAAAAUGAAAAGAAGCCACGCUUCCCAAGAGCUUCGUGGAGAUAUUCGUUCUGCGGACUUCUCUGUAUUACAUGUACCUUUGGUAACAGCUGAACACAGGUCCCUAAGAUUAGUGCCAUCUUUACAAGAACCAAAGGACAUUAGAACCCUGACCUGAAUACUAGAGAAAUAAAAACGUAGGUCCCAAGACUGGAAGGACAUUCAGAGGCAGGCAGCCUGGUAGCCAUUUAACUGUGAGCCAAUGAACAGUAUACACCUUCCCAGAGGUUCCAGGCUGGGGCAGUAUUGAAGACCAGAAAUGCACCAACGAGUUCUCUUUCUUUUUCUCCUUUGGACUCGCUUCUGCCUCUUCAUAUCGUCUCUCGGCCUUGGCUUUUUUAUUUGUUAACUUUAAAAAAAUUCUUCCUUUAUGUGUAUUUGCGUGUGUCUGGUAUACACAUAUAUUUACCACCUGCUGGCAGGUGACAGAGAGGGUGGAAACAAACUGUCGGAUCCCCUGGAACUGGGGUUACAAAUGGCUGUGAGCUGCUGGAUGUGGGUCCAUGGGAACACGGAUCCUCUUUAAGAACAGAAAGUGCUCUUAACCUAAGAGCCAUCUCUUCAAGGCCUCAAUGCCGACUUUUAAUUUACUUUUCUAGUUUGUAACUCGUGGCCACACGAUCCUACUAACAAAGUUAACUGGCAGGAACAUGUGUGUUUCUAGUCUUCCCUUCUUCGAAAUAAUUCUCGCGCAUAGAAAGAUGCAAUGUGACCUUGAAGAAGAUAAUGCGGAAAGUGCUUCAAGAGAGAGGGCGUUCUCUCAUGCCAGGCCACACGAUGGUGGCACAGUGACCACACUAUGGUGGCACAGCGUCUUCUCUGGGAAGAGAAAGAGUUCCUCCGCCGAUCUGCAGCAGAUGCAAACAUUUUGUUCUAGUUUCACCGAAUAGGGGAACAGGUAAGGUAAUGCUGCCUUUCAGCCGCGACCCUAACAGUGAUUUUAUUCUUUCAGGUAGCUUGACCGGUGAUUAUGAUCUCCAGAUUUGCCCCAAAAGUGCAGCACUCUGACGUGAAUCUUAUUUAAAUAUAGGUUUCAGGCGGGGGUGGGGGUCGGGAGAGACAAAUAACUACCUUAGUUUUGGUUUUGUUGUUUUUCUGAAAUUCACCUUUAAUUGGUCCUCCGUAUUUUAUCUGAUCGGCUUUUUUUAUUUUCUGUGUUUCAUGCUGUUUGUUUUCGAGAGCAUUCCAAAUGGAUUAUUCUCCAAGAUUGCUGAGCCAGGGGCUGGGACGCUCCACGCGACUGAGCAGCCACUUGACUUGAGCUCUCGUCUCCCUCUAGUGGCCGCCAAGGAUAUCUUCACCGAGCCCUCUCGUGGCCACCAACAGGGCUUCCAGACCUGAAGAAAGUGGUGCUGUCCACAAAGCAGAGAUGUAGUUUCUAUUGCAUCAGUUAAAAAUGCACUGGACAGGAGCUGAAGAGAUGGCUCAGCAGUUAAGACCAUGCACCUAGAGGGCCCGAGUUCAGUUCCCAGCACCCCUGUCUGGGGUCUCAGAUGUACUGCUAAUCCAGUUCUAAGUGAUCCAAUUGCCCCCUGCCGGAGGAUGUGCACACCCACACACACAUAAAAAUAAAUGCUUCUCCACAGACUGCUCCAUCUCACCAGUGAAAACUGGUAAACACUGGCAUUUCAUGCUGAGGGAAAAACCCAAGCCCUUCCUCCAGCUGGCUCGAGAUGAUUUAUCAAGAUGAAUUUUAUUCAGGGGCGGGCCUAAGGUAGGAGGCCACAGUUGAAGGCUAGUCUGUUCGCCUUUGGUUUGAGAACCUACCUUGAAAUAAAAAGAAGAUGGAUAGUAAAUUA